GAAUUUCGMCCUGAACUCRAGCGUGAGCACCCGCUGAACUUAAGCAUAYCAUUUAGCGGAGGA
rnacentral:rRNA from 1 species